rnacentral:rRNA from 1 species
UGGGGAAUCUUGCACAAUGGGGGAAACCCUGAUGCAGCGACGCCGCGUGAGCGAUGAAGGUUUUCGAAUCGUAAAGCUCUGUCCUAUGGGAAGAUAAUGACGGUACCAUAGGAGGAAGCCCCGGCUAACUACGUGCCAGCAGCCGCGGUAAUACGUAGGGGGCGAGCGUUGUCCGGAAUUACUGGGCGUAAAGGGUUCGCAGGCGGCAUGACAAGUCCGAUGUAAAAGGCGAAAGCUGAACUUUCGUAAGCAUCGGAAACUGUCAAGCUUGGGUGAAGGAGAGGCAAGUGGAAUUCCUAGUGUAGCGGUGGAAUGCGUAGAUAUUAGGAGGAAUACCGGUGGCGAAGGCGACGUGCUGGACUUCAACUGAAGCUGAGGAACGAAAGGGUGGGGAGCAAACAGG